GCGCGCGAUUUUAACUUCCUCACCUACAAACUGAUCCAAAUCUUUGAUUUGAGUUUAUGAGUUUGUCAUCUGACAGCAAUAUUGCUUUUAGGUACGAAGCUUCUGCUCGAUUGCUCAUUGGAGCGUUGUUUUGCCAGAAUUGUUGGCGCUGUUUACCUGGAGCGUCACCAGGAUUCUGUCGCCGCUCAUCGUGGAAAGACAGAGUGCCAGACCCACAACAGCGUGUUGGAGGAAAGAUGAGGGGAAAGAUAAUUACUUUGACCAGAAACGCUAUAGAUUUCCCAUCCUUCACAUCUGCUAUCCACAGGAAGAAGAUGGGUAACUCCUACACUGAUUUCCUGCGAAAAAUAUUCUUGGACCUCUGUGAGUCCUUUUGGGUUGGAGUAGCAAUUAGCGUCAGACCCCCAGGACCAACUAACACCAAAUAAAAAUGUUAUCUGCUGAAGGCAACAGCAGAGGCGAAGCAAAAGGAGGCGCAGCAGAUUUGUGGUCUAUUCCGAAGCCCCUCUGUCCCCUUGAGGGACCCUGGUGAGCGAGUGCAAAGAGAAAAAAGGACACCGUUCCUGCUGCAAUUUCUCUGCCUGAUUUGUAACAGGCUGAUAAGCUUGGCAACCAUCCCUGCAGGACAACUGACCAAUGGUGGCAGCGCUCUCAAGCUGAGAGGAGCAGGGAGCGAGGGAAGAAAAUGUGCCUUGCCAGAAAGACAGCCGCCCCUUAUCGGCCGGUGUCUCCGACUGUCAUACAUGAACCGCCUCGAAGGACAUUAAAUUUUCAGGUGCAACAUGCCGAUGUUAUUUGUUAGCCGUGAUUUGAUAUUUUUCCAUAUGAAAGCCAGACGAAACAAAGUUUCUGCGAGCGACGUGGGGUUAUCACAAAGCGUUAUAUAAAUAUAAACAAAAUUAUACAAUCCUAAAGAGAAGGAUUACAUGGGAUUCUUUUCCUCAUGAAUGUAAACAAUACUGCUGGUGGUAGUUAAUCGAAUGACUGAAUAUGGAAGCCUGCAGAUAUGUUGGAUAAACAGGUGGAAAUUGGAACUACUGAAGUGACAGACAAAAACCCCAAAAUGAAUUCAAUGAUGUGAGGAAAAUUGCUCAUUGGCUGAAGAAACUUGUAUGGAUGUAAUUAUACAGUAGAGAAAACAAAUAUUUAACACUA